rnacentral:tRNA from 1 species
UAAAAGAUAAGCUAACAUUCAAGCUAAUGGGCUCAUACCCCGUAAAUGAAAGUAUAAAUCUUUCUCUUUUUA